rnacentral:lncRNA from 1 species
AGCGGCGGUGAGGAGCAAGUUCGCAAAGGUCGCGAGGAGGAGCGCACCGUCCCACCACCACAUAAGGGAGGUAAAUCUCGUGACUAUCUUGCUAGUUUUGAAGCUCGGUUAGCUAAACUUGAGAUAGCUAUGGCGGAUAACUAUCUUGCUAGUUUUGAAGCUCGACUUGAGAUAGCUACGGCGGAUACAAGAGAGAGGUUGGAUCGCAUGGAGCAAACCGUAGAAGAGUAUGUCGAGAAGGUCGAUAC